CCGUUAUCUCGUAGUUUGGGGACGCGUCCAAGUCCUUCUUGAACGGGGCCACAGCCCAUAGAGGGUGCCAGGCCCGUAGGGACCGUCUACCAUAUGCGAGAGGAUCUCUCCUCAGAGUCGGGUUGCUUGAAAGUGCAGCCCUAAGUGGGUGGUAAACUCCAUCUAAGGCUAAAUAUUACCACGAGACCGAUAGCGAACAAGUACCGUGAGGGAAAGUUGAAAAGGACUCUGAAGAGAGAGUUCAAUAGUACGUGAAACCGUUUAGGGGUAAACCUGAGAAACCCGAAAGGUCGAACGGGGAGAUUCAGCGUGUCUCGAUUACGGCACUGUGACAGUUGUNCGACGAGCUUUUUUUCUUCUUCAUUGAGGAUAAUUGUGUUUGCGUCUUCAGUUCAGUCAGACCUAGUUGAACGCGUGCACUUCUCCCCCAGUAGGACGUUGCGAUUCGUUGGGCGCCGGUCUAAGGCUCUCAUGGUGGAGCCCAUUUCAUUUGGCGGUUUAUCCCGUUGAUGGAAUGGACCCAUGGUGUUUCCCGGCCGGCACGCUCGACGAUAUACAGAAUGGCGCAAGGCCGCUACAAAAAUAAUUAGUUAGCGUUUGACCUACGGCAAGCGCGCUUGUUGUGUUGGUGAUCGGACCUGGUGCCGGUCCUGACCACAUGUGGCUGUUAGCUGUCAGUGUUCUCAAACAGACCUUGAUGAAACGCCGAUCUGCAACGCUAUAGCUUUGGGUAC
rnacentral:rRNA from 1 species